rnacentral:rRNA from 1 species
GUUAUAGGGUCAAGCGAAUAAGUGCAUGUGGUGGAUGCCUUGGCGAUCACAGGCGAUGAAGGACGUAGUAGCUUGCGAAAAGCUGCGGGGAGCUGGCAAACGAGCUUUGAUCCGCAGAUGUCCGAAUGGGGAAACCCGGCCCGUAUGGGUCAUCCCUUGCUGAAUACAUAGGCAAGGGAGGCGAACGCAGUGAACUGAAACAUCUAAGUAGCUGCAGGAAAAGAAAUCAACCGAGAUUCCCAAAGUAGUGGCGAGCGAAAUGGGAACAGCCUUGUACUCUUUAGCAGUAUUGUUAGCGGAACGGAAUGGAAAGUCCGGCCAUAGUGGGUGAUAGCCCCGUACGCGAAAACAGUAUUGUGGAACUAGGUGUACGACAAGUAGGGCGGGACACGUGAAAUCCUGUCUGAAGAUGGGGGGACCAUCCUCCAAGGCUAAAUACUCGUGAUCGACCGAUAGUGAACCAGUACCGUGAGGGAAAGGCGAAAAGAACCCCGGGAGGGGAGUGAAAUAGAUCCUGAAACCGCAUGCAUACAAACAGUCGGAGCCUGGAAACGGGUGACGGCGUACCUUUUGUAUAAUGGGUCAGCGACUUACAUUCAGUGGCAAGCUUAACCGAUUAGGGAAGGCGUAGCGAAAGCGAGUCCGAAUAGGGCGUUCAGUCGCUGGGUGUAGACCCGAAACCAAGUGAUCUAUCCAUGGCCAGGUUGAAGGUGCGGUAACACGUACUGGAGGACCGAACCCACUAACGUUGAAAAGUUAGGGGAUGAGCUGUGGAUAGGGGUGAAAGGCUAAACAAACUUGGAAAUAGCUGGUUCUCUCCGAAAACUAUUUAGGUAGUGCCUCGUGUCUCACCUUCGGGGGUAGAGCACUGUCAUGGUUGGGGGGUCUAUUGCUGAUUACCCCGCCAUAGCAAACUCCGAAUACCGAAGAGUGCAAUCACGGGAGACAGACAUCGGGUGCUAACGUCCGGUGUCAAGAGGGAAACAACCCAGACCGCCAGCUAAGGUCCCUAAGAUUGGCUAAGUGGGAAACGAAGUGGGAAGGCUAAAACAGUCAGGAGGUUGGCUUAGAAGCAGCCACCCUUUAAAGAAAGCGUAAUAGCUCACUGAUCGAGUCGUCCUGCGCGGAAGAUGUAACGGGGCUAAGCCAGUCACCGAAGCUGCGGAUGCACGUAAGUGCAUGGUAGGAGAGCGUUCUGUAAGCCUGUGAAGGUGUCUUGUAAAGGAUGCUGGAGGUAUCAGAAGUGCGAAUGCUGACAUGAGUAGCGAUAAAGGGGGUGAAAGGCCCCCUCGCCGUAAGCCCAAGGUUUCCUACGCAACGUUCAUCGGCGUAGGGUGAGUCGGCCCCUAAGGUGAGGCAGAGAUGCGUAGCUGAUGGGAAGCAGGUUAAUAUUCCUGCACCGUCGUAUGAUGCGAUGGGGGGACGGAUCGCGGAAGGUUGUCCGGGUGUUGGAAGUCCCGGUCCCUACAUUGGAGAUGGCACUUAGGCAAAUCCGGGUGCGUGAUUCAAGGGUGUGGGGCGAGCGACGUUAGGUCGCGAAGCAAUUGGAAGUGGUUCCAAGAAAAGCCUCUAAGCUUCAGUCAUACGAGACCGUACCGCAAACCGACACAGGUGGGCGAGAUGAGUAUUCUAAGGCGCUUGAGAGAACUCGGGAGAAGGAACUCGGCAAAUUGGUACCGUAACUUCGGGAUAAGGUACGCCCUUGUAGUUUGACUGGCUCGCGCCAGAAGGAUGAAGGGGUUGCAAUAAAAUGGUGGCUGCGACUGUUUAAUAAAAACACAGCACUCUGCAAACACGAAAGUGGACGUAUAGGGUGUGACGCCUGCCCGGUGCCGGAAGAUUAAAUGAUGGGGUGCAAGCUCUUGAUUGAAGUCCCGGUAAACGGCGGCCGUAACUAUAACGGUCCUAAGGUAGCGAAAUUCCUUGUCGGGUAAGUUCCGACCUGCACGAAUGGCGUAACGAUGGCCACACUGUCUCCUCCCGAGACUCAGCGAAGUUGAAGUGUUUGUGAUGAUGCAAUCUCCCCGCGGCUAGACGGAAAGACCCCAUGAACCUUUACUGUAGCUUUGCAUUGGACUUUGAACCGAUCUGUGUAGGAUAGGUGGGAGGCUUUGAAACCGGGACGCUAGUUUCGGUGGAGCCGACCUUGAAAUACCACCCUGGUUUGUUUGAGGUUCUAACCUUGGCCCGUGAAUCCGGGUCGGGGACAGUGCAUGGUAGGCAGUUUGACUGGGGCGGUCUCCUCCCAAAGUGUAACGGAGGAGUUCGAAGGUACGCUUGGUACGGUCGGACAUCGUACCUAAAGUGCAAUGGCAAAAGCGUGCUUAACUGCGAGACCGACAAGUCGAGCAGGUGCGAAAGCAGGACAUAGUGAUCCGGUGGUUCUGUAUGGAAGGGCCAUCGCUCAACGGAUAAAAGGUACUCUGGGGAUAACAGGCUGAUACCGCCCAAGAGUUCAUAUCGACGGCGGUGUUUGGCACCUCGAUGUCGGCUCAUCUCAUCCUGGGGCUGUAGCCGGUCCCAAGGGUAUGGCUGUUCGCCAUUUAAAGAGGUACGUGAGCUGGGUUUAAAACGUCGUGAGACAGUUUGGUCCCUAUCUGCCGUGGGCGUUGGAAUCUUGACGGGGGCUGCUCCUAGUACGAGAGGACCGGAGUGGACGUACCGCUGGUGUACCUGUUGUCUCGCCAGAGGCAUCGCAGGGUAGCUAUGUACGGAAGAGAUAACCGCUGAAAGCAUCUAAGCGGGAAACUCGCCUGAAGAUGAGGAUUCCCUGGAGACUUGAUCUCCCUGAAGGGUCGUUCGAGACCAGGACGUUGAUAGGCUGGGUGUGGAAGCGCAGUAAUGCGUUCAGCUAACCAGUACUAAUUGCCCGUGCGGCUUGAUCCUAUAACC